UCCGGGAGGGUCUUAGGCCGACCCGCGAGACGCAGCCGAGCGGAGAUGGAGUGAAGGCUGCCUCGCCCGGAAUCUCGGAGCCGAGCGCCGCGGGCGGCGGGGACUCAGGGCUGCUCCCGGCUGGGGCGCACGGCCGUAAGACCUGGAGGUGGUGCCUCCCCCCAAAAAAUACCGGCGGGGGUAGCUUCCUCACGGCCUUCGCCCGGGCUGCCCUCGGCCUCAGCUCGGCUCCUUUCCUUGUGGGAGGGCGAGAAAGAAAGAGGGAGGAGAGAGGUGGGGGAGGCGGGAGUUGGAGAGAGAGGGGCUCUGAGCCAACCGCCGGCGGAUCCAGC
rnacentral:lncRNA from 1 species